AUGAAAGCUUUCGACAACACGGUAGAGGCUUGGUUUGCAAGAAGUACAUUUGCAAGAAGGACCCAGAGAAGGAGACUUUGUUCGGAUUCCGGCGCAAACAGGCCUCCGGGUUCCGCUCCUCCGAGGGAUUUUCUCUCCCAAACUGAAGAAUUGGAGGAAUUUCUCCGUCGGUUUCUUCCUUUCCUCCGAAGCAGAAAUGUUGGAACGAGACCCUGGCAGCGGCCUGGAAGGGUGUUGCCUGCCUCGGAGGCAAGAAAUGGCAAAAAUCCCACCUUGGGCCGAGAAUUAUGGCGAGGAGGAGGAGGACGAGGCCAACAACGAGGUCUUGCGACAGUAAACAAGCCGUGCAAGAAGAUUCUCCCCGGUUCCCGGUGGUUUUGCACUUUCCGGCUUCGUAGAGAAAUUCUGCCUCGAUCUUGCCCCACUUGCACCUUGGGCUCCUCCGGGGAGCGAGUGCGAAUCCUCCCUGUCGUUCGCAUUUGCUUAAAGUUAAUGCGUCCGCGCCUCUUUUGCAAAUAGAAACUAGUUUCAAUCUGGGAAAGUUUUCAAAUUGGCUCACUUUGUUGUGCUUUGCUUCUCCUUUGCAAGCUGAAGUGGGUGCAAAUCCUCUGUAUCUUUCCCAUUUGCUUGCUUUCUUGUUCGUUGCUCCUCUUUUGCAAGCAAGAGCUGGUGCAAAUCCUCUAUAUUUUUCCCGUUUGUACACUGUUGUGCCUUGCGCUUCUCCUUUGCAAGUGGAAUUGAGUGUGAAUCCUGAUCUUUUACGCUUUUUUGUGCAUUGCAUUUUUUGCAAGCGGAAGUUGGUGCAAAUCCUCUGUAUCUUUCCCAUUUGCUUGCUUUCUUGUUCGUGGCUCCUCUUUUGCAAGCAAGAGCUGGUGCAAAUCCUCUAUAUUUUUCCCGUUUGUACACUGUUGUGCCUUGCGCUUCUCCUUUGCAAGUGGAAUUGAGUGUGAAUCCUGAUCUUUCACGCUUUUUUGUGCAUUGCAUUUUUUGCAAGCGGAAGUUGGUGCAAAUCCUCUGUAUCUUUCCCAUUUGCUUGCUUUCUUGUUCGUGGCUCCUCUUUUGCAAGCAGGAGCUAUUGCAAAUCCUCUAUUUUUCACCUUUGUUGUGCCUUGUGCUUCUUUGCAAGUGGAAGCGAGUGCAAAUCUCUCAUUGUCACAUUGGCUCACUUAGUUGUGUGUUGCUCCUCUUUUGCAAGCAAGAGCUGGUGCAAAUCCUCUGUAUUUUUCACAUUUGCUCACUUGUGUUGUGCCUUGCGCUCCUCCUUCGCAAGCGGAAGCGGGUGCGGAUCCUCUGUCUUUCACACUUGCUUGACGUUGUGCGUUGCUCCUCUUUUGCAAGCAGAAGCCGAUGCGAAUCCUCCCACUUUCCCAUUUGCUCCCUUUGUUGUGCCUUGCGUGCCUCCUUUGCAAGUGGAAGCGAGUGCAAAUCCUUCACUUUGCUGUGGGUUGUGCCCUUUCUACACAAGUGGGAUCGAGUGCGAAUCCUCCUGCGCCUUCACACUUUUUUGUGCAUUGCUCUUCCUUUGCAAGUAGAAGUCGGUGCAAAUCCUCUAUAUCUUUCCCAUUUGCUCACUUUGAUGUGCCUUGCGCUGCUUUGUAAUCGGAAAGUGAGUGCGAAAUCUUACUUAGCCUUCACACUUUUUGUUAUUGCAGUCUCCUUUGCCAAGUAGA
rnacentral:lncRNA from 1 species